UGGGGAAUAUUGGACAAUGGACGCAAGUCUGAUCCAGCGACGCCGCGUGGGUGAUGAAGGCCUUCGGGUUGUAAAGCCCUGUGGGCAGGGAAGAAAACGGUUCAGUCAAAUAGGCUGAGCUCUUGACGGUACCUGCUCAGAAAGCACCGGCUAACUCUGUGCCAGCAGCCGCGGUAAGACAGAGGGUGCAAACGUUGCUCGGAAUUACUGGGCGUAAAGCGCGUGUAGGUGGAUUGGUGUGUCAGAUGUGAAAUCCCUGGGCUCAACCCAGGAACUGCACCUGAAACUACCAGUCUUGAGUGGUGGAGAGGGAAGUGGAAUUCCUGGUGUAGAGGUGAAAUUCGUAGAUAUCAGGAGGAACACCAGUGGCGAAGGCGGCUUCCUGGACACCAACUGACGCUGAGACGCGAAAGCGUGGGGAGCAAACAGGAUUAGAUACCCCCGUAGUCC
rnacentral:rRNA from 1 species